rfam:Streptococcus pneumoniae R6, complete genome.
GGAGUUGCUCUCAAGACUUAUUUUUGAAAAGGAGAGACAGAAAAUGG